rnacentral:rRNA from 1 species
GUGCCUAAUACAUGCAAGUCGAGCGAGCUUGCCUAGAUGAAUUUGGUGCUUGCACCAAAUGAAACUAGAUACAAGCGAGCGGCGGACGGGUGAGUAACACGUGGGUAACCUGCCCAAGAGACUGGGAUAACACCUGGAAACAGAUGCUAAUACCGGAUAACAACACUAGACGCAUGUCUAGAGUUUAAAAGAUGGUUCUGCUAUCACUCUUGGAUGGACCUGCGGUGCAUUAGCUAGUUGGUAAGGUAACGGCUUACCAAGGCAAUGAUGCAUAGCCGAGUUGAGAGACUGAUCGGCCACAUUGGGACUGAGACACGGCCCAAACUCCUACGGGAGGCAGCAGUAGGGAAUCUUCCACAAUGGACGCAAGUCUGAUGGAGCAACGCCGCGUGAGUGAAGAAGGGUUUCGGCUCGUAAAGCUCUGUUGGUAGUGAAGAAAGAUAGAGGUAGUAACUGGCCUUUAUUUGACGGUAAUUACUUAGAAAGUCACGGCUAACUACGUGCCAGCAGCCGCGGUAAUACGUAGGUGGCAAGCGUUGUCCGGAUUUAUUGGGCGUAAAGCGAGUGCAGGCGGUUCAAUAAGUCUGAUGUGAAAGCCUUCGGCUCAACCGGAGAAUUGCAUCAGAAACUGUUGAACUUGAGUGCAGAAGAGGAGAGUGGAACUCCAUGUGUAGCGGUGGAAUGCGUAGAUAUAUGGAAGAACACCAGUGGCGAAGGCGGCUCUCUGGUCUGCAA